AGUCGUAACAAGGUUUCCGUAGGUGAACCUGCGGAAGGAUCAUUAUUAAUAUUUUGAUAUUAGUGAAUUUGUUUUAUAAGAUUAUUAAAGUAGUUUGGAAAAUAUUUUAAAACUUUCAACAACGGAUCUCUUGGUUCUCGCAUCGAUGAAGAACGCAGCAAAACGCGAUAUGCCUUGUGAAUUGCAGAGUGAAACAUUGAUUUUUGAACGCACAUUGCACCUAAAGGUAUUCCUUUAGGUAUGGCUGGAUGAGCGACUUUUCAAUUGUGAACGUAAUUUACUUCAUGAAAGAAUAACAACGAAACUAAUUUCUUUUUGAAAAACUUCGUCCUCACCUCAACCAAGAUUACCCGCUGAACCUAAGCAUAUCAAUAA
rnacentral:misc_RNA from 1 species